AAGCUUUUAGCCAUGGAUUACCCUAAAACAGCAGUUCCUACUAACAUCUUCACUGAACGCGGGUCCAAUAUCGUCGUCAUCAAUCCAGGUUCCGCAAAUAUUAGAAUAGGAUUGGCUCAACAUGACACUCCAUUGAAUAUACCUCAUUGCAUAUCCCGUCGCACUAGUCAGUUACCGAAACGAAAUGCUCAAGAUCAAAUGCUGAAUUCUCAGGUUACGACUGCACAGCAUAUGGAAAGGGAAAGAGCUUAUGACAUUGUUGCGUCAUUAUUGAGAAUUCCAUUUUUGGAUGAGGAGGUAGCUAACAGUUCUUAUCCACGCAAGAUGGGGCGUGUAGACGCAUAUCCUCCGCAAAAUAACAUGAAAGAGCCAGUGUUCACUUGGACUGAUGUUUUUGAGAGAAAUGUCCCUCAUUCUUCAACAACAGAAGAUGUACCCAACGAGGACGAUACCAGCGAGUCACCCACUCUGAAGGAAAGCAAGAUUAAGGUUGAACCUAAUUCCAGUGAACGUAAAUAUAGAGAGUACAUAUGUGGAGAGGAAGCUUUAAGAAUUUCCCCAACUGAACCAUAUUGCUUGCGGCGUCCUAUACGCCGAGGUCAUCUGAAUGUAUCUCAAUAUUAUCCGACGCAGCAGGUUCUCGAAGACCUGCAUACUAUAUGGGAGUGGAUUUUGGAUGAGAAAUUGCAUAUUUCUCAUCGUGAGAGAAGCAUGUAUUCUGCAAUCCUUGUUAUUCCAGAGACAUUUGACAAUCGUGAAAUCAAGGAAAUGCUAUCUAUCGUGUUGCGUGACUUACGGUUUGGUUCAGCAGUAGUCCACCAGGAAGGUCUUGCUGCAGUUUUUGGAAAUGGUUUAUCAACAGCAUGCAUUGUCAACAUGGG
rnacentral:misc_RNA from 1 species